UUUAAAAUCACAAUCUCUUUUACAAUCUACACAGAGAAACAGCAGCUAUAUGAGAAUAAAUAUGUUAAACGAUCGCAAACUUUCCGUCUCUUUUCGGAACCUAUGCUUAUGCCCCAGGUUAACAAAAAUGAAUUUAACUCGAACAGAAAUGCUCGCUUUCCACAAGUGUAACAUGAAAACAAGUGAGAUAAUUAGUGACCAGUGUGAUUAAAUCAGUGUCGGUGAACUAUAAGUGUAUUUACUGUAUUUCCAGACAUAAGUCGAAGACAAGCAUUUUUAGGCGUCGAUUGCAGUCAGGAGGGAAACAGAAAACUAAGUUGCUGGACAUCGUAACACUGAAUACACUUCGUAUGACUUAGCCCACUGGAAAUUUAGGACUACUGACCUAAAACGGAAGGCUACGUUGUUUUAAUUUCAGACGCGCAGAUGGGAGAGCACGACAUCAGCGUUAAAUGAAGCCACGACGUUUUUUAUGAAUAUGAACAAGAAAAGUUCUGCCAGCGCUGUCUAGCCUCACCAUGCAUACACUGGUCUGAGUUGUGACAGCUCGGAGCGCACAGUCGGCUGGACACCUAGCAAAGCACGCCGACCUACCGCCACGAAUGACCCCAAACACCAGAGCGACUUCCUCGGCUGUCUUCCAUUUCGCCCUAAUGCGAAUGACUGUCGGUGCCUUUGAAAAUCCCCGAAGGGAAAGUCGCCUAAACGGCGGAGGAGUGAGCCGACUCGCCCGGCGACGUCAUGCCGCGCACACGGAUCCUCCUACUGCGACGGGAGCUCUACAAACUCGGGGAAAUGAAGUCGGUGAGCCGAGGCUCCGGAGACGCGCCGCAGGGUCCUCCGGAUGGGACACGGCUUAACCCCCUGGGCUGCAUGCAGUAAAAGGGGGGAAAGCGCAGCAAACUCAGGGACAGGAAAGCCCGACUGGCCGGAAAGCGCGGUGCCCUUUAAAGUGACACAGGAGGACGCUGUCACCAGAUACUGUCAAGUCUGGAGCAGAGAGCGAUCAGCCCACGCUCAGUUCAUUUACAAUAAAAGUGCGCAACUUCAACGGUUAAACUCUAAAGUGCUUAGCUGCUUUGCCAUGUUGGAUUUAACCCAACAUGUUUGGAUACUUCGAACUGCAUUCGCAGCUGCUUUGUUUGUAAUUUUGUUUUGCUCGUGCAUGUGUUUCACGGGGCUGUAAACGUAUUAAUUGAUAGUGCGAACACUUAGGCUAACUGCUAAUGCUAUAGGCACCUAUAACUAUAAGGUGUAAUUAUGUUUAUCUUUCAUUAUCGGUGGCGGCUUCUGCGCUGUCCUUAUGUGACUCUGAAAUAUUGGGCACCGACUGAACCCGUCGCUUGUCUUUAGGAAAACUGGUAUAGGUAAUGCGAUUUAGAUAACCAAAGGACCGGUUCUAAUCGGCUCUAUAAUAAAAAAGCGACUGAACUAGUAAUACGGGAAGGUUUGCAUAUUAAACAAAAGAUAAGUGCCAUUUGUUCCAUGAGGGUUGUUGCACUAGAUAUGGGAGUCGUCAUUUAUGUUUUAAGUUACAGUAAUAUGUCCUUUAUGAUUUUGAUAUAACUGCGUAUAAACAAACAAACGUACGUUUUCCUCUGUACUUUGGCUUCACUCAUUCAUUACGAAUCGUGCGGCGGUCUUAUACUGAUCCUGGCAAACGAAAUCGCUGUGUAGUUUGCGAGUUUAUUCACGUUUGAUGCUUUCAUACCCAGCGAAUAUUACCUUUAUAUUAGAUGUUUUUAUGUCGUGUGAACCGAAACGACCGUGUAACUGUACCUCUGAAGUCCCAUGACACAAAUGCCGCGUCUAUUUUGACAUUCCCAGAUGUUUUAGUGAACUACAGAAGCGCAUGGCGGUGGGGUUAGUGCGGCCACACCCUCGGCUUUCUGCGCGGCAUCACUUUGACUUAAGUUAAGCUCCAUCGGCGAAGUCAGUCACCUUUCAGCUAAAGGAGGAAGUCGGUGAUAAAUAUUCGUGACGCUGAUUUUCGAUGGAGGAGGGGUAACCUAAACUUAAUUGCAUCAUUGAUAUUUUAUAGUUACGAACUACUCUUAUUUGCAACACGUCUUGUUUAGACCAGUAUUAUACAGUCAAUUUAUUUUUACAAAUUGAAGGGACGUAUGAGGACGUGAGCAAUAGACGUGCUGAUGCCUGGAUCUCCAAGCGUAAAGCUUUUCUUAAGCACAUAAAUAAUGCCACGCACGUUAUGUUCAAAAUGAAUUUCUCACAGAACAUAAAAAUUAAAAGUAGCAUGCAUGUAACGUUUUCGACAUCUGCACAAUUUUACUGGCUAACUUGAUUGUACAAAAAACAAACAAUUUUACCAAAAAAAUGUAAUUAUGUAAUUACUGUUAGGCUCAUUUUGUAGCUGGCUCGUGAUGACAGAGCAAUUUUAAUGUCGGUUAACUUUAUCAUCAUUUCAUACAUACACGUACGCGAGGAGCCCUGGAUGAACUGGGAAUGCGUGCAUUGGGGAAGCGGCAUCUGAAUUUGCUUGACUGCGGUGAAGUGUCCUGUUCUGAAAACACCGCCAUAGCAGCCUAGCAGCGUUCUGCAUUUUGUUUUCAGGGUGUUGUUGUUGGGAGAAUCGGAAAGUUUAUUUUGGGGAUCAACUUGAGUUGAAAAUAGGUUUUUCCCAUGGGCGUCGUUAGGUCCGAUCACUCGACAAUAUAGCCCCGUGUAUUUUAUGCCAAUCUUCCUUCAAAAGAAAAGGCCCAGGUUAACUUGACUUAGCCCUUGAUCUUUUCAGUAUCAAGAAACGCCCCUGGUAUACAUGUACCAUAUUUUGAGAGGGAAGACUCACACGUCUGUCAGAUUACUCAUGUGUAAAGAUUACUCCUGUGAAGCAAGUGGGUCAUGGGCGAGAACAUGAAAACAGUUCAUGCAGUUCAUGCAAAACAGGAAGCGUAGCUGCUGCAGCUUCCCCGCGUCUACGAUGAAGGGCACAGAAUGAAGCGCAUCCUUACAUUGCAGCCGACACACAUACAGAUUAAAGUAGCUCCGCUGGGAGACGCCUGGGUCCUGCAGGUCAUUGAAGCUGAAAACAGGCUGCUGAUGGGAGGCUGCACGAAGAAAUGCCUCUCCAUCCUAAAGACUCUGCGGGAUCUGCACCUGUACAAAUACCACAUGAAGACGCUUGUCUUGUACGAGUGCGCAAAGCACCUGCGUGAGACCGACUGGGCUCAACGGUCACAGAUCAUCUCUGAAAUUUAAUGGUGUCAAUGCUCUUUCUCCAGCUGUACAAUCCCAAGUUUGCUUGGAAGUUGUAGUUCACUACAGUACCAGGUUUACCUGGGAGUUGUAGUUCACUACAGGUCCCAGUUUGCCUGGGAGUUGUAGUUCACUACAGAGCCCCCCUCACUUCUUCCUGUGCUGUAUAUAAAGCCAUGGUUCCUCCCCCUUGUGCUGUUGCUGCUACAUUGCAAGACUCUGUGCCUAAGUAGUUUUCAUCCAAGUUUAGAGCAUCUCGGGAAUUUUUGGUAAAUGUUUGGCUCCUCUGCAGGUUUCAACUCGUCGGCUACACAACAUCACACACAUGAAAGCCAAGAACUGAGACUGCAAAUCAGAGCUAUCUUGGAGCUAAAGUUCAUCCUGAAACUUGCCGAACUCAAAUGUGCUUGGGGGUCAUUUCAGAUGAAGAAUGCCUGCUGUCUUGGGUUUGGUAUAAUUCAAUAAAUUCAGGAACAUUUUGCCAAAAGAACAAAUGCAAAAGUGUUGCCAGUUCAGAUUAAAUUAAACUUACUUUCU